rnacentral:piRNA from 1 species
UGUGCAGAAAAAGUGCUGGUGUCAACA